GGUCCCGUAGCUCAACCGGAUAGAGCACCUGCCUUCUAAGCAGGGGGUUGCAGGUUCGAGUCCUGCCGGGAUCACCA
rnacentral:tRNA from 2 species